AGAGUUUGAUCCUGGCUCAGGAUGGACGCUAGCGGCGUGCCUUAUGCAUGCAAGUCGAACGGUCUUAAGCAAUUAAGAUAGUGGCGAACGGGUGAGUAACGCGUAAGUAACCUACCUCUAAGUGGGGGAUAGCUUCGGGAAACUGAAGGUAAUACCGCAUGUGGUGGGCCGACAUAUGUUGGUUCACUAAAGCCGUAAGGCGCUUGGUGAGGGGCUUGCGUCCGAUUAGCUAGUUGGUGGGGUAAUGGCCUACCAAGGCUUCGAUCGGUAGCUGGUCUGAGAGGAUGAUCAGCCACACUGGGACUGAGACACGGCCCAGACUCCUACGGGAGGCAGCAGCAAGGAAUCUUGGGCAAUGGGCGAAAGCCUGACCCAGCAACGCCGCGUGAGGGAUGAAGGCUUUCGGGUUGUAAACCUCUUUUCAUAGGGAAGAAUAAUGACGGUACCUGUGGAAUAAGCUUCGGCUAACUACGUGCCAGCAGCCGCGGUAAUACGUAGGAAGCAAGCGUUAUCCGGAUUUAUUGGGCGUAAAGUGAGCGUAGGUGGUCUUUCAAGUUGGAUGUGAAAUUUCCCGGCUUAACCGGGACGAGUCAUUCAAUACUGUUGGACUAGAGUACAGCAGGAGAAAACGGAAUUCCCGGUGUAGUGGUAAAAUGCGUAGAUAUCGGGAGGAACACCAGAGGCGAAGGCGGUUUUCUAGGUUGUCACUGACACUGAGGCUCGAAAGCGUGGGGAGCGAACAGAAUUAGAUACUCUGGUAGUCCACGCCUUAAACUAUGGACACUAGGUAUAGGGAGUAUCGACCCUCUCUGUGCCGAAGCUAACGCUUUAAGUGUCCCGCCUGGGGAGUACGGUCGCAAGGCUAAAACUCAAAGGAAUUGACGG
rnacentral:rRNA from 1 species